GGCUGGACAAAUGCCGCUCUCAACUGCUACAGACCAAAGUCUACGCUUUAAAGAUAGAGAAGCCAUUCUGUCAAAGUGAAAACAGAAGCGGUAGGUAGGAAGCCGCCCCCCUUUCUUUCAAGCACAGAGACCCAGAGAGACGCCCAGGAGCUCCCGAAAAAAACGUUGCUGAUUAGAGCUGCCGGGUCAGAAACAGCUGUGAGACACUAAAGUCCCCACUGAGACAAGGUCUUGCUCUGUCACCCAGGUUGGAGUACAGUGGCAUGAUCUUGAUU
rnacentral:lncRNA from 1 species